rnacentral:lncRNA from 1 species
UGCAUUCAGAGCUCAUGUACAUAUGAUCUUUACUUCCUAUUGGGUGAUAAAUUUGCAAGUUGAAAGAUACAAGCAGCCAAAUACCAAAACCAAACUUCAUGAAACAGUAUGGUAACCAGGUAAUUAAUAGCCAAGUCAAACUUCGAUAAUCUGCUAUACAAACUGAGUAGGAACUGAUAUUUCCAUUUUGGACCCUUGUUUGAGACUUCUAGCAUUUUCUUGAUUCGAGUAAAAGAUAAGAUCAUAUUCCAUCCAAACCACAUGCAAGUUGAAUAAGAGACCGUAACCAGCAGGAUGGCACAACAGAAACCAGGUAAGAUGCUUUAGGACAGUUGAAAGAAUCAUCAGAUGUGCACACUACCAACUCCAAGCUGCACCAAAGAUAUGAGGCCACUGAAUGCAAGUUCAAACUGAAAAACAUCACAAAGACCAAAUCAUUAUGCUUCAGGAUCAGUAAUCAGAGGUCAAAACCAUCAGGAAAGUCCAUUUGCUUCACCAAGUCCCCGCGCUAACUGACUAUCCAACUCUACAGUCUUGCAAUAAAACCUCCAACAAUGCAAAUCAAUGAACGGCCCAAAUAUAAUCAGCAUACUUAAAGUUUCUUCAAGGAAAGUCAGACCAUAGUGAAAUCUAGUAAAUCAGUUGAAACAGGCAUGGAGUCCAAGUGUAAGUUUUUGUGGUUGCAGAAGAUUCCAAACGAAGAUCCCAAACAGCCAUCAGACGAACAUAAAUCGAAGAACUUAAUGUGCCACUCAAAUCUGACAUCACCAAGCACAGAUGAGGAAUCCAGUAAACUAAUGUGACGAAACAUGGGAAACUGGCCUGCCUCGAGUCCCCUUCACCAUACGUUCACAACCCACAUGGAGAUUUACUUCCAGACCAGAUCAAGAUCCAGUCCUGCAAGCCAAAUUGUAGAGGCGGCGAUAACACAUGAAACAAACAGACCGUCUACGAGACACUGACCUGACUGCAUGUACAGAGCAAAGGUUUGGGCCCAAACUCCUAAUAAAAAUUAUAUAUUGCCAACUCCACACACGCAGAAGACCAAUAAAACACAGGGAUCAAGAGUUAGUCAUCGCCCACAUGGCCUGGGCUAAAGAAAAAUCUGCAACCAUAGGAAGGGCAGGGGCAAAAACCUAUAUCAGAGAGAUGGCCAAGUAACUAAAUGAAAUUUAAAAAAAGGAAGGUUAUAGUCUUUUUCGGUUGUAGGAUGAACCAUUAGUUGAAAUCUCUGGAUCAUCCUAUAUAUUCGUGCUGCAUAUGAAUCUGUAUUUAAAAUAUUGUCUAGUAAGAUAAUUUAUAGAUUAUGUAAGUUGCAAUGAAUUGAAACGACACUGUAGACUUCGAAGAUCAGUAGAUGGAUUCAUCAUCAGGCUGGACAGGAGUUUGUCAACUACAACCUGCAGCGAGCAAGAGACCGUUUCUAUAAAAAAAUUGUUAGGGGAAAUGCUGCUUAUAAAUAGCUAAAGCAUGGAUGAUUGAGUGGGAACAAGUAAAGCCUGUCUAGGGUCAGGUAUGGAUGAUGGAGGACAACAACGCCGGUUCCAAACUGCAGUUAUAUCCUUUCCAAGUCAGUAUCUGCAAGAGCUGAUAAGUACUAAGGCAAAGAAAACCUAAUGUCUAGAGAGUUCAAUUAUAGAGUAAAAAAGGUUGAAAAGGUUUUUAGUCAUAGAAGGAACUGCCAUGCCGAGGCAAAAUAGGACCGCCUUCUAAUCCAUAUUAUUCCAAUUUCUGGAGAGCCACCAAGAAAUAGUAUAAAUUAGAAUUGUGGGAAACCAAAACAGAACAGUGGAGACGAAAGAGUAAAACAGAGAGUGAUAAUUAUCCAAACAUAGAGCAGCAAGAUGCGUCGCUCCCGCUAAGCCAUAUAAUUCCAAUUUCUGGAGAACCACCAACAUAUCCAAAUAUAUCCUGCACAUAGGCCCAGACUCCCUAAAUAUAUCCUGCAACUGAUACACGCAGAAGGCCAGCACGGGGAUCAAGAGUACAAACAACAAAUCGAUCCAGAGAGAGAGAGAGAUUGCAAACCAAACGAUUUUAACAGAGAUUCCGAUUCACUACCAGCAUGGUUUGGGCUUAAUCUGCAACCAAAGGGAGGGUAGAAAGAAAAACCUAAAUUAAAGGCAUAAACAAGUAGCUACGUGAAACAAAAUAUAAGAGGUGGGUUAAAAAUAGUCUUUUCAUUGUAGGAUGUUCCAUUAGUUUGAAUCUCCAUUGUUGAACCUUUGCAGAUCUGUAUUCAAAAUAUUUCCUGGUAAGAUAAUUCUAAAGGUUGUCUAAGUUAUGAUGACUUGAGAAAAUAGUAGAUUUAGAAGAACUGCAAACAGAUUCAACUCAGCACCAGGUUGGACUUGAGUUCAUCAACUACAACCUGCAACGAGGAAGAUACCUUUCUAUAAGUUAACAGGAAAACUAGGCUGGGCCACAGGAAGAACCGCCAUGCUGAGGAAACAUAGGAUCACCCGCUAAGCCGUAUAUGUCCAAUUUCUGGAGAACCAGCAACAAAUCUAAAUCAGAAUUGUCGGAUAACUAAUUGAGCUGUGGAGAAGAAAUUAAGCAGAGAGUAAUGAUCAUCCAAAGACAGGUCAGCAAGAAGAUAGGUCACUCCCGCUAAGCCAUAAUCCCAAUUUCUGGACAACACUGGUUCCAAUUAUUUCGCUUCCAGGCCAGCAUCUGCAGGACCUAAGAAUUACCAACUAAGGCAAAGAAAGUAAUGUCUAGGAAAUUCAAUAAUCAAGGGAGGACAAAAGGUCAGAUAUGUUUGGGCCACAGGAAGAACCGCCAUGCCGAGGAAACAUAGGAUCACCCGCUAAGCCGUAUAUGUUCAAUUUCUGGAGAACCAGCAACAAAUCUAAAUCAGAAUUGUCGGAUAACUAAUUGAGCUGUGGAGAAGAAAUUAAGCAGAGAGUAAUGAUCAUCCAAACACAGGUCAGCAAGAAGAUAGGUCACUCCCGCUAAGCCAUAAUCCCAAUUUCUGGACAACCAUUAACAGAUCCAAAUCAGAAUUGUCAGGGACUAAAAUUGAAUUGUGGAUUAAAUAGAGGGGUUCAUAAUCAUCCAAUUACAGAUCAACAAGAAGAUAGGUUGCUCCUGCUAAAGCCCAAUUUUUGGAAAACCACAAACAAAUAACAAAUACAGAUCAAAACUGCCAAGGACUAAUUGUACUGUGCAAACCAAAUAAAUUGAAUCUGGACAGAAUUCAUUAACCAAACGCAGACCGCAAGCACCAGGUUCCAAUCCAAUCAGUCAAAGUGAUGAACAGAAACCAAAUAUCCACCAAUUAACCCCAUCUCUGGAAAACCACAAAUAUAGAUCAGAACUGCCAAGGACUAAAUUGUAUUUUGCAAACCAAAUAAAUUGAACCGGGGCGGAAUUUAUUAUCCAAACGCAGAUCAGAAGUUCAGGUUGGUAAGAGAUCCAAAGCUUGAUAAUCCAAUCAAUCAAAAUGAUGAACAGAGACCAAAUCUCCACCCUAUGAUUCAUCUAUGCAGAACUACUACCCUCCUGCUGCAAGCAAAAGAGCACAAACACACACCAAACGAUCAGUUGCUACAAUAAGAGUCCGCCAGGACCUCAAAUCCACCUCAUAUUAGCUGAUGAUGAUGGAACACAUGAUGAGAACCACACGACCGCACGAUUCAAAUCUGACCUGCCUCAAUCCCCUUCGACAUACAACACCACAGGGAUCUCCACAUUCCAGAUCCAGUCCUGCAACCAAUGUGUGGAGGGAGGCAAACAACUAAACCAAACAAACCGUUGAUACAACACUGACCUGAUUCAUUGUACAGAGAUUUGCCCAUAGGCCCAAACUUCCUACAGGAUAAGAGUACAGAGAACAAAUCGACCCAUAUAGAGAUAGAUUGCAAACCAAAUGAUUUUAACAGAUUUUGAAUUGCUACCAGCACGCUCUGGGCUAAAAUAAAUCUGCAAUCACAAGGGGGGGAGAAGCAAAAAAGCCUAAAUCAAAGGCAUGAACAAGUAGCUACGUGAUAUAAAAAUAAGAGGCGAAGUUAAAAAUGGAGGAGUCUCUUUUUUAUUGUAGGAUUUGCCAAGUUUGAAGCUCCAUUCUUGCACCUUCCCAGAUAAAUCUGAAUUUAAAAUAUUGCCUAGUGAGAAGAUCUUAAAGGUUAUCUAAGUAAUGAUGAAUUGAUUAGAGAUCAGAAUUAGAAAAAAACUGCAAACAGAUUCAACUCAGCAUCAGGUUGGACUUUGCAUUCCUCAAACCUGCAACGAGGAAGAUACUUUUCUGUAAAUUAGGGGGAAACUAGGCUCAGCUAAAGCAUGCUUCAAAUGAGGAGGAGGUAGAAGUUAUAAGAAAGUUCGUCUGGGAAGGUCAGGUAGAUAGCACCGGUUCCAACUAUAUCCGUUCCAAGACGGUGUCUGCAAUAGCUAACAAAUGACAAACGAUAAACUAAGGCAUAGAGAACUUGUCUGGUGUGCUUUAAUAACUAUAUUACUGAUGAGUAAGAAAAAUUGUUGAGCCACAGAAAAAGAACCGACAUGCCGAGGGAAAAUAGGACCACCCGUUAAGCCAUAUAAUCCAAUUUUCUGGAGUACGAGCAACAGAUCCAAAUCAGAAUUGUAUGGGGAGUAAUUGAACUGUGAAGAAAAGGAAAUAAACAAAGAGAGAAUGAUCAUCCAAACACAGGUGAGGAAGAAUGACAAGUCGCUCCCGGUAAGCCAUAUAAUCCCAAUUUCUGGACAACCAUCAACAAACCUAAAUCAGAACCGACUGAGAUUGAACUGUGCAGAUGAAGGAAUUAAAUAGAGGGGGUAAUUAAUCAUCCAAACGCAGAUGUUGCUCCCGCUAUGGCGUGUAAUCCAAUUUAUAAUUUCUGGACAAGCAAAGAAUUCAGAUCAGAAUUGCAUGCCGUUAACUACUGACUAAAAUUGGGAGGGAUCCAUUUAUAUUAUCCAAACGCAGAUCGCAGGUUCAGGCUGGUAAGAGAUCACAGGCUUCAUGAUACGAGAAGAUCUGGCCAUAUCAGGACAAUAACCGCUGAACCCUAACCUUAAACAAUCAGAAAUUCAGAAUAACCGCUGAACCUUAACCGACGAAUCAAAAUAACCAUGAAAAUAAAUCAAACCUCCAUCUCCGCAGAACUAGCGCGCCCUCUGGCUUCCUCUGCAUCUAGGGUGAGAGCACAAGACAUACCAAAACCGAGAUCAGCCGGCACAAUAUAAGAGAAUCUUCCACGAAUUGAAGGCCUCGAAUGGAUACACCUUGAACUAACGGACGAUAGGGAAUAAAUAAACCACAGCGCUCGGGCAACGACAGGAUCACACGGGCCAUGUAUCCAUUUGAUUGAAAUCUGGCAUCUCGGACGAACGCAGAGGAAGCGAUCUGAACUCGCACGGGAAACUGACCUUGCCUCGGCCUCCGGCUCCAUAUCAGAGCUCCAAUUCCAAAAACCUGGCUCGACGAUCCUGCAUGCAACCAACGCGCGGGGACGCGAACACGACGAGGAACACGGGAUCCACAGUUGCAAGCACACAAAACAGAUUCUGAGGAGGAUCCGCAAACCAGAUGGAGGUCCCAAACGGAUGAAUUCCUCGGUCGAUCGAUCGCUUCCCGAGCUCGCACGGAGGCGGAGGAGGCCGGGCCGGACUCGCAUACCCUGCGAACACGGCAAGGCAACGGCGACGGCGAGUCAACGAACUCAAAUCAGACGCGAUUCGAAGCGAAUCGAGAUUGAGGGACGAGAGAAACGGGGAGAGGAGGAAACAGUCGCGCAAUCGCGAGGAGGCGAGAGUGGGGGCGCGGCCCGUCGCGAACGAGAGAGUUCGGAAGAGAGGAAGGGACCGGAGCGCGGGGAGGAGAGGGCGCGCCUGGGGCGCCUUUUGUAGCCGGGGCAGAGGCGGUG